rnacentral:rRNA from 1 species
AACGAACGCUGGCGGCAUGCCUAACACAUGCAAGUCGAACGCCUGUAGCAAUACAGGAGUGGCAGACGGGUGCAAAACGCGUGGAAACCUAUCCUUGGUUUCGGAAUAACCGCGGGAAACUGCGGCUAAUACCGGAUACGUCCUUCGGGAGAAAGAUUUAUCGCCCAUUGAGGGGUCCGCGUCUGAUUAGCUAGUUGGUGAGGUAAUGGCUCACCAAGGCGACGAUCAGUAGCUGGUCUGAGAGGAUGAUCAGCCACACUGGAACUGAGACACGGUCCAGACUCCUACGGGAGGCAGCAGUGGGGAAUAUUGGACAAUGGGCGUAAGCCUGACGCAGCCAUGCCGCGUGAAUGAUGAAGGUCUUAGGAUUGUAAAAUUCUUUCACCGGGGACGAUAAUGACGGUACCCGGAGAAGAAGCUCCGGCUAACUUCGUGCCAGCCGCCGCAGUAAGAC